CCCAUCAUGCCAUGCGCGCGGCGUAAUCAAGAUGGCGGCUUCAAAGAAACAAAAUGCGUGACCAUCUGAAAUGGAAGUACUAUGCACUUUCAGAAAUACAUUUGGAUGUAAGUGAUGACAUCAUUUUGACUAUUAAUCAGCAUCAUGAUUUCCAGGGGAGCAAAAGUUGCUUUAGGAGGAGCAUUUUGUUUUGCUGCUGCUGUCAUUUUCUUGGUCCAUCAGAUGCAAAAUAUUGAUCGCAGGAGACUCAAGGAAGGUGUGAUCAGGGAUUUGGAGCGGCAGGAAAAGAAGAGGAGAAAUGUUGAGGAGUUAAAGGAACAAAUCGAACUCACCAAGAAGUUACAAGAGCAAAGAGACAGAGAUCUUUCUAAAGAAACAGAAUGACAUGAAGCAAGUUGGGAAAAAAUAAUUUAUUGUUUUAUAUCUUUUUUCAUGGUUCUUUUGGCAAUUAAAAUUGUAAUGCAUACUUUGA